rnacentral:rRNA from 1 species
GACGAACGCUGGCGGCGUGCCUAAUACAUGCAAGUCGAGCGAAGUCUUUCUGGUGCUUGCACUAGAAAAACUUAGCGGCGAACGGGUGAGUAACACGUAAAGAACCUGCCUCAUAGACUGGGACAACUAUUGGAAACGAUAGCUAAUACCGGAUAACAGUAUUUCUCGCAUGAGAGAUAUUUAAAAGUUGGUUAUGCUAACACUAUGAGGUGGCUUUGCGGUGCAUUAGCUAGUUGGCGGGGUAAAGGCCCACCAAGGCGACGAUGCAUAGCCGACCUGAGAGGGUGAUCGGCCACACUGGGACUGAGACACGGCCCAGACUCCUACGGGAGGCAGCAGUAGGGAAUCUUCCGCAAUGGGCGAAAGCCUGACGGAGCAACGCCGCGUGAGUGAAGAAGGAUUUCGGUUCGUAAAGCUCUGUUGUUAGGGAAGAAUGGAUAUGUAGUAACUAUACAUGUAAGAGACGGUACCUAACCAGAAAGCCACGGCUAACUACGUG